rnacentral:rRNA from 1 species
AUUGAACGCUGGCGGCAGGCCUAACACAUGCAAGUCGAGCGGAUGAAGGGAGCUUGCUCCUGGAUUCAGCGGCGGACGGGUGAGUAAUGCCUAGGAAUCUGCCUGGUAGUGGGGGAUAACGUCCGGAAACGGGCGCUAAUACCGCAUACGUCCUGAGGGAGAAAGUGGGGGAUCUUCGGACCUCACGCUAUCAGAUGAGCCUAGGUCGGAUUAGCUAGUUGGUGGGGUAAAGGCCUACCAAGGCGACGAUCCGUGACUGGUCUGAGAGGAUGAUCAGUCACACUGGAACUGAGACACGGUCCAGACUCCUACGGGAGGCAGCAGUGGGGAAUAUUGGACAAUGGGCGAAAGCCUGAUCCAGCCAUGCCGCGUGUGCGAAGAAGGUCUUCGGAUUGUAAAGCACUUUAAGUUGGGAGGAAGGGCAGUAAGUUAAUACCUUGCUGUUUUGACGUUACCAACAGAAUAAGCACCGGCUAACUUCGUG